GACGAACGCUGGCGGCGUGCUUAACACAUGCAAGUCGAACGGUGACCCGGAGCUUGCUCCGGUGAUCAGUGGCGAACGGGUGAGUAACACGUGGGCAAUCUGCCCCUGACUUCGGAAUAACUCCUCGAAAGAGGAGCUAAUACCGGAUACGACCACUUCGGGCAUCCGAUGGUGGUAGAAAGUUUCUCGGUCAGGGAUGAGCCCGCGGCCUAUCAGCUUGUUGGUGGGGUAACGGCCCACCAAGGCGACGACGGGUAGCCGGCCUGAGAGGGCGACCGGCCACACUGGGACUGAGACACGGCCCAGACUCCUACGGGAGGCAGCAGUGGGGAAUAUUGCGCAAUGGGCGAAAGCCUGACGCAGCGACGCCGCGUGAGGGAUGACGGUCUUCGGAUUGGUAAACCUCUUUCAGCAGGGACGAAAUUGACGGUACCUGCAGAAGAAGCACCGGCUAACUACGUGCCAGCAGCCG
rnacentral:rRNA from 1 species